CGUGUUGUAAAAAUUAGCUUUUCGCGUGAUUUCGCAAACUCAACGCCUAUCAUCUUCCACGAUCUAUCUGAGAUAUUUCUCCAUCAUCUUCGCAAGUUUAAAAGUGUCUUUGCCCUUUUAAUCACCGAGUGACUAUUAAAGUGACUACUUAAAAUCAAGUAAUCAACAAAAAUGUACCUGUCAGGUACCAUUCGUUGAAUCUGCAACUACAUUUCUAGAAAAUUAACCAGCAGAGCGGAGAAUUCGAAGCGCCACGGUGUCUCGUUUUAAUUUCAGCACCGUCCAAGUCGAUCAAAGAGGAGGACGUGGGUAAGAAAAAGAAACGAGAAAGCUAAACGAG
rnacentral:misc_RNA from 1 species